AUACGUAGGGGGCGAGCGUUGUCCGGAAUGAUUGGGCGUAAAGGGCGCGUAGGCGGCCCGGUAAGUCUGGAGUGAAAGUCCUGUUUUUAAGAUGGGAAUUGCUUUUGAUACUGUCGGGCUUGAGUGCAGGAGAGGUAAGUGGAAUUCCCAGUGUAGCGGUGAUAUGCGUAGAGAUUGGGAGGAACACCAGUGGCGAAGGCGACUUACUGGACUGUAACUGACGCUGAGGCGCGAAAGUGUGGGGAGCAAACAGGAUUAGAUACCCUGGUAGUCCACACUGUAAACGAUGAAUGCUAGGUGUAGGGGGUAUCGACCCCUUCUGUGCCGCAGUCAACACAAUAAGCAUUCCGCCUGGGGAGUACGGCCGCAAGGUUGAAACUCAAAUGAAUUGACGGGG
rnacentral:rRNA from 1 species